rnacentral:rRNA from 1 species
UACGGAGGGUGCAAGCGUUGUUCGGAAUCACUGGGCGUAAAGCGCGUGUAGGCGGACCGAUAAGUCGGAUGUGAAAGCCCUGGGCUCAACCCAGGAAGUGCAUUCGAAACUGCCGGUCUUGAGUACGGGAGAGGAGAGCGGAAUUCCUAGUGUAGAGGUGAAAUGCGUAGAUAUUAGGAAGAACACCGGUGGCGAAGGCGGCUCUCUGGUCCGAUACUGACGCUGAGGCGCGAAAGCGUGGGGAGCAAACAGG